rnacentral:rRNA from 1 species
GAAGACCAAGGGUUCCUGUCCAACGUUAAUCGGGGCAGGGUGAGUCGACCCCUAAGGCGAGGCCGAAAGGCGUAGUCGAUGGGAAACGGGUUAAUAUUCCCGUACUUGGUGUUACUGCGAAGGGGGGACGGAGAAGGCUAUGUUGGCCGGGCGACGGUUGUCCCGGUUUAAGCGUGUAGGUGUGUGUUCCAGGUAAAUCCGGUUCACUUUAACACUGAGGCGUGACGACGAGGCACUACGGUGCUGAAGCAACAAAUGCCCUGCUUCCAGGAAAAGCCUCUAAGCAUCAGGUAACAUCAAAUCGUACCCCAAACCGACACAGGUGGUCAGGUAGAGAAUACCAAGGCGCUUGAGAGAACUCGGGUGAAGGAACUAGGCAAAAUGGUGCCGUAACUUCGGGAGAAGGCACGCUGACACGUAGGUGAAGUGAUUUACUCAUGGAGCUGAAGUCAGUCGAAGAUACCAGCUGGCUGCAACUGUUUAUUAAAAACACAGCACUGUGCAAACACGAAAGUGGACGUAUACGGUGUGACGCCUGCCCGGUGCCGGAAGGUUAAUUGAUGGGGUCAGCGCAAGCGAAGCUCCUGAUCGAAGCCCCGGUAAACGGCGGCCGUAACUAUAACGGUCCUAAGGUAGCGAAAUUCCUUGUCGGGUAAGUUCCGACCUGCACGAAUGGCGUAAUGAUGGCCAGGCUGUCUCCACCCGAGACUCAGUGAAAUUGAACUCGCUGUGAAGAUGCAGUGUACCCGCGGCAAGACGGAAAGACCCCGUGAACCUUUACUAUAGCUUGACACUGAACAUUGAGCCUUGAUGUGUAGGAUAGGUGGGAGGCUUUGAAGCGUGGACGCCAGUCUGCGUGGAGCCGACCUUGAAAUACCACCCUUUAAUGUUUGAUGUUCUAACGUGGACCCGUGAUCCGGGUUGCGGACAGUGUCUGGUGGGUAGUUUGACUGGGGCGGUCUCCUCCUAAAGAGUAACGGAGGAGCACGAAGGUUGGCUAAUCCUGGUCGGACAUCAGGAGGUUAGUGCAAUGGCAUAAGCCAGCUUGACUGCGAGCGUGACGGCGCGAGCAGGUGCGAAAGCAGGUCAUAGUGAUCCGGUGGUUCUGAAUGGAAGGGCCAUCGCUCAACGGAUAAAAGGUACUCCGGGGAUAACAGGCUGAUACCGCCCAAGAGUUCAUAUCGACGGCGGUGUUUGGCACCUCGAUGUCGGCUCAUCACAUCCUGGGGCUGAAGUAGGUCCCAAGGGUAUGGCUGUUCGCCAUUUAAAGUGGUACGCGAGCUGGGUUUAGAACGUCGUGAGACAGUUCGGUCCCUAUCUGCCGUGGGCGCUGGAGAACUGAGGGGGGCUGCUCCUAGUACGAGAGGACCGGAGUGGACGCAUCACUGGUGUUCGGGUUGUCAUGCCAAUGGCACUGCCCGGUAGCUAAAUGCGGAAGAGAUAAGUGCUGAAAGCAUCUAAGCACGAAACUUGCCCCGAG